AGAGCAGCAGCCCUUGCAUAUUACGUUGCAAGAUGUUACGUUUUUUUGGAAAACACGUGAAACGAACUCUAGAUGUUUUCAAUGUUAACGGCGGG